UGCAAGUCGAGCGGUAGCACAGGGGAGCUUGCUCCCUGGGUGACGAGCGGCGGACGGGUGAGUAAUGUCUGGGAAACUGCCUGAUGGAGGGGGAUAACUACUGGAAACGGUAGCUAAUACCGCAUAACGUCGCAAGACCAAAGAGGGGGACCUUCGGGCCUCUUGCCAUCAGAUGUGCCCAGAUGGGAUUAGCUAGUAGGUGGGGUAAUGGCUCACCUAGGCGACGAUCCCUAGCUGGUCUGAGAGGAUGACCAGCCACACUGGAACUGAGACACGGUCCAGACUCCUACGGGAGGCAGCAGUGGGGAAUAUUGCACAAUGGGCGCAAGCCUGAUGCAGCCAUGCCGCGUGUGUGAAGAAGGCCUUCGGGUUGUAAAGCACUUUCAGCGAGGAGGAAGGUGGUGAACUUAAUACGUUCAUCAAUUGACGUUACUCGCAGAAGAAGCACCGGCUAACUCCGUGCCAGCAGCCGCGGUAAUACGGAGGGUGCAAGCGUUAAUCGGAAUUACUGGGCGUAAAGCGCACGCAGGCGGUUUGUUAAGUCAGAUGUGAAAUCCCCGGGCUCAACCUGGGAACUGCAUUUGAAACUGGCAAGCUAGAGUCUCGUAGAGGGGGGUAGAAUUCCAGGUGUAGCGGUGAAAU
rnacentral:rRNA from 1 species